UACAGAGGGUGCAAGCGUUGCUCGGAAUUAUUGGGCGUAAAGGGCAGGUAGGUGGUCUCAUUUGUCUGGGGUGAAAGCCUUGAGCUUAACUCAAGAAGUGCCCCGGAAACGGUGAGACUGGAGUCCUGGAGAGGGUCGUGGAAUUCCCGGUGUAGCGGUGAAAUGCGUAGAGAUCGGGAGGAACACCAGCGGCGAAGGCGGCGACCUGGACAGGUACUGACACUCAACUGCGAAAGCGUGGGGAGCAAACAGG
rnacentral:rRNA from 1 species